GAACAACCACUCACUCCACCUCAAAAAACAUGGAGCGGAAACUGGCUUUAGGUCUUCAUCAGUCAAUCCAAACAAGUUAGAGGAUCUUGGUGUUUAAUUUCGGGUCGCUGCCGGCCGCUUUCUCCUCAGCCGCCGCCUCCUCCUCAGCCGCCGGUGCCGCCGCGGCCGGACUCACCUCCCCUAGCAAAGCCGGAUAGAGCGGAGCCAGCGGCGGACACGCGCAACCAGCCACCGAGGCCCCGCCCCCGCCUCACACUGACCGGCUGCCCUAGCCAAUCCACGCCCACCUGUCUGCGUCUGCCUCCAAUCCUGGGCCCGGAGCUUCAGACAGGCGCACUGUUCGGCCAGUGGCAACAAGGUGUGGGUCUCCUGGGGAAAUCCCGCCCCCGAUCCGGGAUGGGCAGAUAGAAAGACCAAUCAAAAGGCAGAGUCUGGCCUGACCGACAAGACUAAAAGCGAAUUAAAAACCAAAGAUCUCCGUGA